rnacentral:tmRNA from 1 species
GGGGGCGAAAUAGGUGUCGACAGGGGGAAUGAGCGGCAAGAGCAGCCUGUCGAGUUCGUCGGGAACUCGUCAAAAUCCGACAACAAAUAACUGCCACAACGGCAAACUGUCUGGCUGCUUAAGAGCAGCCACUCACCAACAGUUCGUAGCCCUCAGGACUGUUGAGUGAGCCGGAACGAGGGCCUGACAGUCUGGUUGCCUUUUCCCAGGCUGUUAAGUACCAAAAAGGCUGCCUCUGUUUAGGCCUGUCCUGUUGGGCCAAAACAGAGAAAGAAAAAACACAGGACUAUCCAGGUAGAGACUCUAGCCACUCGCCUUCUGGACCCGGCUGCAAAGCCGGCGCCUCCACCA